AAGAGUGUCUCUCUAUGGCCACCACCAGCCCAGGCCCACUACAGUUGACCAUUAAACAACACAGGUUUGAACUGAGUGGAUCCACUUAUAUGCAUACGUGCAUUUUCUCCUGACUCGGCCACCCCUGAGACAGCAAGACCAAUCACUCCUCUUUGACUUCCUCCUCAUUUUACUCAAUGUGAAGACCACCAGGAUGAAGACCUUUAUGAUGAUCCACUUCCACUUAAUGAAUACCAUUUUAGGAGCCAAGAUGGCCGAAUAGGAACAGCUCUGGUCUACAGCUCCCAGCGUGAGCGAUGCAGAAGACGGGUGAUUUCUGCAUUUCCAUC
rnacentral:lncRNA from 1 species